AUGGGAUUAUUCUAGUUGGAGAGCAUAGUCUGGUGUUAAGUUUGUUGAAAAAUAUAUCCUAAAGCCAAUCUUUUAGAUGAUUGUGCUCAUUUUAUAAUAUGUAUGUGAAUUAUUAAUUAAUAAAUAAAAAUUAUUUUAACAUCUUUCAUCAUAAAGUUACAUCUUUCUUGCUAGAACUCUUGUGUUGUGAUGAAGUCCUUAGAACUAUGAAG
rnacentral:lncRNA from 1 species